rnacentral:siRNA from 1 species
UAGAUUUAGGAAGUUGCCUAUAAU